rnacentral:rRNA from 1 species
UUGACCUCAAAUCAGGUAGGACUACCCGCUGAACUUAAGCAUAUCAAUAAGCGGAGGAAAAGAAACUAACAAGGAUUCCCCUAGUAACUGCGAGUGAAGCGGGAAAAGCUCAAAUUUGAAAUCUGGCAGUUCUUUUGACUGUCCGAGUUGUAAUCUAGAGAAGUGUUACCUGUGCUGGACCAUGUACAAGUCUUCUGGAAUGGAGCAUCAUAGAGGGUGAGAAUCCCGUCUUUGACAUGGACUACCAGUGCACUGUGGUGCGCUCUCAAAGAGUCGAGUUGUUUGGGAAUGCAGCUCAAAAUGGGUGGUAAAUGCCAUCUAAAGCUAAAUAUUGGCGAGAGACCGAUAGCGAACAAGUACCGUGAGGGAAAGAUGAAAAGAACUUUGGAAAGAGAGUUAAACAGUACGUGAAAUUGCUGAAAGGGAAACGCUUGAAGUCAGUCACGUUGGCUAGAAAUCAGCCUUGCUUUUGCUUGGUGUACUUUCUGGUUUGACGGGUCAGCAUCAAUUUCUACCAUUGGAUAAAGUCUCUGGGAAUGUGGCAUCUUUGGAUGUGUUAUAGCCCAUUGUCGCAUACAAUGGUUGGGAUYGAGGAACUCAGCACGCCGCAAGGCCGGGUUUUAGCCACGUUCGUGCUUAGGAUGCUGGCAUAAUGGCUUUAAUCGACCCGUC